rnacentral:rRNA from 1 species
AUUGAACGCUGGCGGCAUGCCUUACACAUGCAAGUCGAACGGCAGCACGGGUGCUUGCCCCUGGUGGCGAGUGGCGAACGGGUGAGUAAUACAUCGGAACAUGUCCUGUAGUGGGGGAUAGCCCGGCGAAAGCCGGAUUAAUACCGCAUACGAUCUACGGAUGAAAGCGGGGGACCUUCGGGCCUCGCGCUAUAGGGUUGGCCGAUGGCUGAUUAGCUAGUUGGUGGGGUAAAGGCCUACCAAGGCGACGAUCAGUAGCUGGUCUGAGAGGACGACCAGCCACACUGGGACUGAGACACGGCCCAGACUCCUACGGGAGGCAGCAGUGGGGAAUUUUGGACAAUGGGCGAAAGCCUGAUCCAGCAAUGCCGCAUGUGUGAAGAAGGCCUUCGGGUUGUAAAGCACUUUUGUCCGGAAAGAAAUCCUUGGCCCUAAUACGGUCGGGGGAUGACGGUACCGGAAGAAUAAGCACCGGCUAACUACGUG